CUUAGCCCGGUCCUCGGCCGAAAUUGCACNCUAGAUUUNAGUUGAUCAUGGCUCAGAUUGCAACGCUGGCGGCAUGCUUUACACAUUGCAAAGGUCGAACGGGUAAACCAAGGGGUCUUCGGAUGCUGACGAGUGGCGAACGGGUGAGUAAUACAUCGGAACGUGCCUAGUAGUGGGGGAUAACUACUCGAAAGAGUAGCUAAUACCGCAAUGAGAUCUACGGAUGAAAGCAGGGGACCUCCGGGCCUUGUGCUACUAGAGCGGGGCCCUUUUGGAAAAUUUGG
rnacentral:rRNA from 1 species